CUUAUUUCAAGUAUAAUUCGAAAUGACAACAAAUUCCAUAAUCAAUUGAGUUUGCUUCAAUAACAAAUACUUUGCCCUGGUCUCAAUAACUUUGAAGGUUUGAUAUGUAUACAAGAAUGUUAGAAACUACUACAAGGAACAUUGUUCUAUCACAUAGCUACAACAAGCCAUUGGGAAAAGGAUCAUCUAAACAAUAUUCAAAACAAAAUAUUGAAACUCCUACACUAUAGAAAAGUAGUGCCACCAAAAUUAUGGUGCAAAAGAUUGUGUGCAAUGUGAUCUCUAGCCUGCAUUGAACUCACUGACCUCACACUAUUCUCAGCCACCAUUUCAUCAUCAAACAUAUCAAACCUCAAUUCAGGCUCCAAACUCUCAUUGUUCAUCUCACAUAUAUUAUGCAAAACACAGCAGGCUCCAAGAACCACAGGCAAAUCUUGAAGCUUCACCUCUGUUCUCUUUUGUAAGCAAGUCCACCUUGCUUUUAGCCUCAUAAAAGCCUCUUUUGCAACC
rnacentral:lncRNA from 1 species